GCGGCUGUGAGCAGGACGGGGUGGGGGAGCACACUGUGUGUAGAGAGGAGAGCUCCAGGGAGGAGAAGAUCUUAACGGAAACCAAGACCAGGACUGGAGUUGUAGCUCAGAGGUAGAGAGCUGGCCUAGCACACACAAGGCCUUGGGUUUAACAGGCAGCACCUCAGAAAAGGAGGGGAACAGAAAACAACAACAACAACAACAACAACAACAAAGACCAAACAGGAAGUAGCCUGUGCCUGCCUUAGAGAAGAGCAGCAUUACUUAUCCUCCUCAUCCCAGUCGGGGGACUCCUUCACAUCCCUACCCUCCAGCCUGCUGGAUCCCGGGUGAUGUUAACUGAGAUGCUGUCGGGGAGGGAAAGAGGAGAGGCGCCCGGGAGCAGAGGCAGGGACAGUAGCUUCUGGUCCUCUGUGAGCAAACCUUUUCAUCAAGCAGCCUGAGAGCCUUCAGUGGAGCUGUCCCAGACCUCAAGGACCCUCAGCUCCUCUCUGGGAAAUCCCUUUUGAUAACUAACAAGUACAGGCGCACCGCCACUGCCUGCUGGUUUUGUAAUUAUUUGGGAAAUGUUUCCUGAAUUCCUGUUCCGUGCCAUGCCCAGCGUCGGAGGAGAAUGCCCCUUCUCUGUAGAACUGCGGGAUGUUACCCAGCAGACAAGGACCCCCGCCCCGACCCUCAGCGUGAUAAAGAGGGUGGCUUCCUGGAGGAGGUGAGGUGUGAGGAGAGAUCUGGGAGAUGAGCCGGAGUUGACCAGUCAAGAGGGAGCAGCUGUUUCCUACCCUCAGCUGUAACCAGGGUUCUGCAUACGCCUGACCUUUGAGUCUCAGAAGGAACAAUUUGAGGGACCCUUCAGCUAAGGAGAUGAAAACACCGUUGUCACUCACGGAGGAAGUACUCUGCGGUGUCCGCUUCGUAGUCUGCGUCCUCUGGAAAGUGGUCGAUUUGCUUGCACAGACCUUUGAAGUUCCCUGUAAGAUACGCAGAAGGAGCGAGACCCUGCUCCAACACCAGGAGCCCACAGUGACCAAGGCAGGACCCUUUCUGCCCACGUGGACUUUGCAGUGCCCGGUGUGUACAGAGAGUGAACCGCAGCACGCUCCCAGACUGAGACUGCCCUUCAGCCCAUUCUCACUUUCUGUCUUGGAAAAUCACAAGGAAACUCCAUGCUGCUCCUGGAACUCUUGCCAGCGUGAUUCAAGCGGAAUUGAGCACAUGGAGCCGUGUCCCCUACACAAGCAAAGAUGUUGCUACUUUCAGCUCAAUGGCCUCCUUUCUCUGCCAGCCUGGGUCCUCCUUGCCUAGGCUAACACCGGGUUCCUGAGGCCAUGUUUGAGAUGGAGGCCUAUUAUCUACCCAGCUGGCAAAAAGGAGGAGGGGUAGAACUGGCUGCCCACCUCUGCCACAUCUAAGCAGAGUGCCUCGGAACACAUCAGUCAUCCUCGGGGCUGGUGUCCUGCCUGUGAAUGGGGCUGAUCACUAAGCCUUCUUCAAAGGUUUCAGGAGGGGGCACUGUGGGCUUCCAGGGGCUGUGGUGUACAGUUCCGUCCCUAGGAACAAAUGCUGUGGAGGGUAUCCCUGUUCGUCUCUCGUGUCUUAUCAUAGGCUUGCUUUGUCGUGGACCAUGGCUUCCCAGGCAGAUGGCAGAGACUUGUAGCUGGAUCUACUGCUUGCCAACACAUGAAAGAGACACCUGAAGCUUACAGUUCCAUGGCUGUGAGGGGACCUGGUUCAGAUCCUGUCACAUGAGAAAACCUUUGAGGUUAAAGGUCAGGCAGCCUGAUGAGCCUGGGCACACACUGAAUGGAUCCAAGUUGUGUUUCCACCCUGAUCCUUUGGGAUCGUGGCAAUAUUCUUAAUCUGUCCAAGCCUCAGUUUCUUCUUCUGGAGAAUGGGGCUAAUGGAGUUAUUUGUGAGGCUGGGCUUCAUUCAUAUAUUCAUUCUCUCAUUCAGUCACUCCCUGCCCCAACUCCUGCUUCCUUCCCCGGCUGAUACCUCACUCAUCCAACUCAAUCUCCAAACUUGCCAGACUGACUUUUCUCCUCCUCCUCCAGGAUGUCUUCCCUCCUGACACCCUCUGGCCUGGCACCCUGGUACCUGACAUUUACCCCAGUCAGCAGCAUGUAGAAGGUGACGGCAUGUCUGUGUCCCGGGCACUGGGCUGAGUCCUUUGCAGACAAUUCCCACACUUAGAGAGCCGGAAUUCAAACCCAGAUAAGUCCUAAGCUUUCUGCUGCUCCCUCAGGCAUCGGUUAUGCAUUUCUGUUUUAGUGGACCUUGAUGUACUUAGCUCUGUGUCCCCAGGGCCCUGCGCCGUCUAGGGAAGCCAAUGAGAGUGGCUGAGCAGAUCCUGAGCACUCAUAAUGCAUUGCUAGAACAAUUACAGUUGAAAGGGAAAGAAGAAAAGCUGGGGCACACAAGGACCCCAGAUUCCUAUCUCCAGAACUCAUUACCGCCCCACCCCCCAUUUCACUGGGAGCAAAAGCCGUGGGAGAGGAAGUCCUUCCUACCCAUCGCGUCAUGUGCCCGAUCCAUCAGCUGCCGUGGACAGCAUGCUCAGUGGACACAGUGAGGACAGGCAGGUCCCUUUCCCCGACCGAACUGACAAUUAGACCACACUGCCCUGUGAACCAAGAUGGCUCCAAGGCUCCUAGGCUGAAUAGCCUUUGAGUUAUUUGUACUUUACAGGAAAGAGCCCCCCUCCCUCCUCCCCGACUCUGGGACAGUGCAUUUCUGGUGACUGCUGUGUGAAGGGCUCGGAACAAGCUGAUAAGAUGAUACGGAAGUGACAGCACUCCCAGCGCCAUCUCCUCCGGGUACCUGAAGCUUUUCCUUUCUAGAGCAAACUCUGUAAUAUUAAUAAACGGUAGAGAGAAGGAUGGAAGAGCGAGUCUUCCCUUUGACACGGCGAAGAUCACAGGGACAAGAGAGACCUUUAAUCUUUAUUAAUGUGUCUCGAGGGGGCCUCUCCUGCAAGCUGUGGGAAGCAGACAUCCAAAGAGCUCGCAUGGCUCCCAGUCCUCAGUGUCCCCGGGCGCCUCAGAUCACUGCCUGGUACUGUUCAGAGUCGAGCAGGGCCGCGUCAUGGGGACCUGCUGUGUCCUGGGCAAGAACAAGGUAGUCCUAAGCUGGCUCCCAU